GUUGUCGCCACCAACGGCCUGCCACUCUAGGGAGCAGCUCCUGGUAACCCGGGAUGAAGUUCUCAGAGCAGCUGGUGGAGGCCACCGGGCUAGGGAGGUAACUUCCCCAGGGCCGUGGAAAAGAUCAGUGUCUGGGGACCCGAUUCUGGGCGGUGCCACAAGCCACGCCAAACCCGAAGUGAAACAAAAAGCUCUUUUAUGUGACAUAAGCUGUCAGAAGAAUUGAAUUGUGAUGGGGUCUGAAAAUACAGAUGGCCAGUUCCACAACUAGAGUGAGUGCAAGACAAUGCAACAUACUGUGGUCCAUGCAUGCACCACAGCAUCACCCGGGAGCUGCUUACUGAACCACACUUGCUGCUCCUAGUCAGAUCUGCCAACAGAUUCCACACAAAUGCAGACUAGAAACUGUGAAGACCGCUCCAUCCUGAAGAGCUUCUAAUCUGUGGAACCCCAGAGUUAUUAACAUUAUCGGGAACACUCUCAACCUUCCAACUGUAUAUACAAUGCAAAGAGAUCUAGUUUGUCAUCAUCCUAUACUAUGGACUGUCGAUUUGAGUAAAGAAUGUUUAUCAUCUGUCUUUCCACAA